rnacentral:rRNA from 1 species
CCCUUAGAUGUUCUGGGCCGCACGCGCGCUACACUGAUGCAUUCAACGAGCACCCGCUGGGCCGAGAGGUCCGGCUAAUCUUUGAACGUGCAUUGUGCUGGGGAUAGAUGAUUGCAAUUAUUCAUCUUCAACGAGGAAUUCCUAGUAAACGCAAGUCAUCAGCUUGCAUUGAUUACGUCCCUGCCCUUUGUACACACCGCCCGUCGCACCUACCGAUUGAAUGGUCCGGUGAAAUUCUCGGACGCGGACUUGCGAUGUUAAUUCGGAGCUUGACUGUGGAAGUUAAUUAAACCUUACCAUUUAGAGGAAGGUGAAGUCGUAACA